rnacentral:rRNA from 1 species
AGCGAACGCUGGCGGCAGGCUUAACACAUGCAAGUCGAGCGGGCAUCCUUGUGGUGUCAGCGGCAGACGGGUGAGUAACGCGUGGGAACGUGCCCUUCGGUUCGGAAUAACUCAGGGAAACUUGAGCUAAUACCGGAUACGUGCGAGAGCAGAAAGGUUUAUCUGCCGAAGGAUCGGCCCGCGUCUGAUUAGCUAGUUGGUGAGGUUAUGGCUCACCACGGCGACGAUCAGUAGCUGGUCUGAGAGGAUGAUCAGCCACACUGGGACUGAGACACGGCCCAGACUCCUACGGGAGGCAGGAGUGGGGAAUAUUGGACAAUGGGGGCAACCCUGAUCCAGCCAUGCCGCGUGAGUGAUGACGGCCUUAGGGUUGUAAAGCUCUUUUCUCCGGGACGAUAAUGACGGUACCGGAGGAAUAAGCCCCGGCUAACUUCGUG